AUAGACCACCUCCUUAUGUCCUCCAGGCAGCAAGAUUUCAGACACUCGUCUACCAGCAAAACGAGUCUGGGCAACCGAUGAUUUCCACACGGCAUCAAAUUCUCCACCUAAAAGCCUUUCCACAACACAAAUGAACAACUACUGACAGAGGAGCUACAGAGAAACGCAGUUCAGAACUUCUGGUGUGUCAGUGCAACUCAUUGUCAAAGUGAUGAAAGGUACACAGAAUUCUCUCGAAAUCAUCAGUGCACAUGUAAUGCCCUCACAUUCCUGGCCUACUUAAUGAGGAACACCAGUUCAACACAGCCCGACUUGAUAAGGUGCUUGAACAGGGAGAUGCACUCUACUGUUGGAUUAAAACAAAUCUUCAGCAGGAGAGGCGUUAUACACAAAAUCAUCUGACCAUGGAGGACCUGCCCAAAGAAGUUCAUGCUGACAUAAAUGUCUA